rnacentral:pre_miRNA from 1 species
AUAACAUUUGGACCGUCGGUCUACCGAGCAAUUUUACCCGCUCUGUGGAUGAUCUUCCAUUUGUCCU